GGAACAAGCAACCUGCAGGCCUCUUAAUGGAAGAGCAGGCAGACACAUCUGUGAGACUACUAUGGAAUGGAUCCAACAAGAAACAAACCAGGAGGAUGGUAAGGUCACUCAGAGGUCAAAGAAAUUGCCACAUCUUUAGAAGACCUGAGUUUAGUUCCCAGUACCCACAGUGUGGCUCAUCUGUGACUCCAGUUCCAAGGGAUGUGACAGCUUCCUCUGACCUCCAAGGGCACCAGUCACACAUGUGGUGUGCAUACAUAUAUGCAGAUCCGCCUGGCCUAAAUGACAACUGAAUAUGCAACUCUGGAAAUUACUGUUUCUCCUAGGAAGCCACUGUCACUUAUUAAAUCGUCACAACAGAUUAAGAACGGUGAUGCCUGAAGGAUGGUUUGAACAGAACACAGCUCUGCAGUCCAGUAAGCUUCUCCCUACCGGAAGUCUCACAAGUGAAAAUGAUGGCCUCUCUCCAGAUUCCACGUCAAGCACACAGUUAAUCUCGGCGUCACUAUUCAUAUAUCUUCUGGGCAGGUGUCUAAGCAAGAACGGUUUGGAACUGCUUAAUUGGCACACACGGUAUCCUAACCUUCUCUUCUGGCUCAGGUCUAUGCAUCAAAGAAACGACUGAAGUGGACUUCAUCUUCUGUUUUAAUUGAUAUCUUCAAAAAAAAAAUGACAGCAGUGUUUAUUUGAUGUUGCACUAGACUAGUAAGUAGUUAUGACUCCUUGCCUGUAUCAUGUUGGCCUCAAAGAGACUCAAAUGCUUCACAGAGCCACUCAGUAGACUGCAGAAGAGCAGGGCAUUGGACCAGGGUCUAGAAUAAAACUUAGUAUAUUUCAGCAGCCAGGGAGAAAAGUUAGUUAGUUCAUUAUUUUCUAUCAGCUUUCAGACAAAUAAAACCAGAGAAGGUUAUCGUAUGUGUAGUUUUAAUGAACUCUUCUUUGUGACUGUAGGUAUGGCUCAAUGGCGGUACAUUUACUUGGCUUGCUUGGGUCUCUAGGUUUGACUGCCAACACCAAAUACAGAAGAAGGUAGAGGACAAAGAGGAGAAGGAAGACGGGGUAAUUAAAUCAAAAGACAGAAGGAGAAAGAGAGAGAAAAGUCUCUUAAGCCCAGACAAAUCUCUUUUACUUGAACUCACACUGUCAGCAUUUUGUCACAAUGGCAGUGUAUGUUACAUACAUGAUCCUAUGAAGCAAACAUACACACACAGCUAAUCAGACUUUGACCAAAUGGAUAACGCAGGUCCAGAUGUGCACAUGGGCACCAAGGGACUUGUGAGGAACUUGACAGUGUGGGUGUGCAUGAGUCUGUGACUGGAAACAACCAGAACGCCUAUCAGCAGAACAGAUACGUGGAUUGUGGCAUUAUCCCACAAUGCAGACGGCUCAACGGUGAGACUGAACAAAUCAGUAUGUCGGAACACCUGAUGGAUCUUAGGAAUGUACAUGGAACACCUAAAGGAAAAAACCACACUGCUGAGUGCAAAUCACAUACGCUCGGGAACAGACAGCAGUCAGCAACGUUACAGAGGUCUUCCAUGAGAUUGAAUGUGCUCGUACUGGGACAUAGAGGAAGAACAGAUUUCUGAAUCCAGGCUCAGCCUUGGGAUGGACAAUCUGGGAUACAGCCUGGUGAGGAGAACAUGACAGAGAACAAUAAAGGACAAGGGGUAAUAUAGAUCACCCUGGAGUAUACUAACACUGGGGUCCAGCAAGGAGCUCUGGCUUGAGCAGUUUCCUGAGCAGUGAGAGCUAUUGGAGGAGAAGAUGAGGCUCCAGCACAGCCCUCAGGACUCUUGACAGAACUCAUCUAUCUGGAGACGUGAGAUUCCCUUGAUGCCAUCACUAAAAUCACAUCCUACAGGGGGCAAGGGGGGAAAAAAUGACCCUGACUGUGAAA
rnacentral:lncRNA from 1 species